rnacentral:lncRNA from 1 species
CAUGCACUUAAUAACUAUAUAACUCACUCGAAGUUGAAGGAGAAGAGUAUUUUUUGUUUUUCUUUUUGGUUCACAAAGAACCUCAUAAGAUUGGUGCAAACUUCUGUCUCAUGAUAUACUGUCCACACUGCCUGCGGAGCUUUGAAAACAAUAUAAGGGUCAACAAACCAAAUACUAUUGUUAUUUCUGAUUUUGAGCUCUCUCAUUUGGUGCCUGCAUAUAUACAUACAAAUUCUAAGUGUGUAAGGAUUAUAUACAUGUAGUUAAAGAAGUU